rnacentral:rRNA from 1 species
UACGGAGGGUGCAAGCGUUAUCCGGAUUCACUGGGUUUAAAGGGUGCGUAGGUGGGCAGGUAAGUCAGUGGUGAAAUCUCCGGGCUUAACCCGGAAACUGCCAUUGAUACUAUCAGUCUUGAAUACCGUGGAGGUAAGCGGAAUAUGUCAUGUAGCGGUGAAAUGCUUAGAUAUGACAUAGAACACCAAUUGCGAAGGCAGCUUACUACCCGAAUAUUGACACUGAGGCACGAAAGCGUGGGGAGUCAAACAGGA